AUUGAACGCUGGCGGCAUGCUUUAUACAUGCAAGUCGAACGGCAGCGGGGUAGUGCUUGCACUACUGCCGGCGAGUGGCGAACGGGUGAGUAAUAUAUCGGAACGUACCGAGUAAUGGGGGAUAACCAAUCGAAAGAUUGGCUAAUACCGCAUACGUCCUGAGGGAGAAAGCGGGGGAUCGCAAGACCUCGCGUUAUUCGAGCGGCCGAUAACUGAUUAGCUAGUUGGUGGGGUAAAGGCCUACCAAGGCGACGAUCAGUAGCGGGUCUGAGAGGACGAUCCGCCACACUGGGACUGAGACACGGCCCAGACUCCUACGGGAGGCAGCAGUGGGGAAUUUUGGACAAUGGGGGCAACCCUGAUCCAGCCAUGCCGCGUGUAUGAAGAAGGCCUUCGGGUUGUAAAGUACUUUUGUUAGGGAAGAAAAGGGAAGUGCUAAUACCACUUUUUGCUGACGGUACCUAAAGAAUAAGCACCGGCUAACUACAUG
rnacentral:rRNA from 1 species